ACUCACGCGGGAAUCUUACCGGGUCCGGACACACUGAGGAUUGACAGACAAAUACACACACUUUUACGGUGUGUGCAUGAAAUAUGCUAGUUCUUUCAUGAUUAUGUGAUAGGUGGUGCAUGGCCGUUCUUAGUUCGUGGAGUGAUCUGUCUGCUUAAUUGCGUUUCACUAAAGGCACAUACACAUAAUAUUGAUGCGUUGUGUGUAUAAUUUCAUAAUUAUAUCGCAUACACACAUAUUAUAUUGUGCUUUGAAAGCAACGAACGUGACCGCAACCUCUUGUUGCCUGUAUAUAUGUGUAUUUUAUACACACCACAGGCUAUUAUAAACUAGAGGGACCGCUGUUACUUUCUUUUAAACCAGAGGAAGGUUGCGGCAAUAACAGGUCUGUGAUGCCCUUAGAUGUUCCGGGCUGCACACGUGCUACAAUGAUCAUUGCAGUGCGCAUCUCAUUUUGUUAUACACUGCUUGUGCGUAUGUGCAUCACAUAUAUUUAUAUGUGUGUGUGUAUGUAUUGCACGCAGUAAAGCCUACUUCGAAAGUUGUGGGUAAUCAAUUUGAAGUAAUGAUUUCUCCAAAUAUAUACUGCACACUCAUAUACAGUGUCUUAUGUCCAUGAAAAUAUUUUAUAUUUUUGUGUGUGCAUUCGAUGCUCGUAUGUGCAAUUGUCAAUUCAUGGUGGGGACAGACCAUUGUUAAUUGUUGGUCUCGGUCUUAACUAGGAAUGCCUUGUACGGGUCUUUGGUUCAACAAACCACCCGGAAUACGUCCCUGCCCUUUGUACACACCGCCCGUCGCUCUUACCGAUGGACUUCUCUGUGAGUUUGAGGGACUGGAUUUUAUAUCUAUGGAAACUCAAACGAACAGUGUGGUCUAAAGGAAAGAGAAGUCGUAACAAGGCAUCCGUAGGUGAACCU
rnacentral:rRNA from 1 species